AGGAUGGUCUCGAUCUCCUGACCUCAUGAUCCGCCCGCCUUGGCCUCCCAAAGUGCUGGGAUUACAGGCGUGAGCCACCGUGCCCGGCCAAUAAGGGAGAAUUUCUGGAGCAUCUGUAAAUUCUCUACUUUAAGCUGCUUCAAAUAGAAAGCAGCCCUGCUUUUUGUGUUUCUACAAAAGACUGGGCAGAAACCUGCCUGUCCUUCAGGGUCCCAAAUGAGCAGUGUAUGAAGUUCCAGUUUCUUCACAUCUUUGACAACAAUUUCCUAUUAUAUGGCUGGA
rnacentral:lncRNA from 1 species